AGUUAGAAAAAGCCCGGGCUAGAGGGCCCGAAGCACCGGGUGUGGGAGGGGGGUGGGGGGUGGGGGUGGGGGGUAUCGGGGAAACUGGGGAAGAUGGGAGAGCUGGAGGAGAGUCGUGGGGUCCGAGGAGCACCUCGGCAUCUGGAGUCUGGCAGGAAUGUUGAAGGACUGAGGGGCUAGCUCAGGCAGAGCAAAGGCAUCGCAAAGGCUGGAAAACAUCGGAGUGAAGCUGAAGGGCCUGAGCUAGGGUUGGAGAGGAAUGGGGAGCCAGACAUUCAUCCCGGUUACUUUUGGUUACAGGACGUGGCGGCUGGUCGGAUAAAGGGGAGCUGCUGGGAAGGGUUCGACCCCAGACCUGGGCAGUGAAGGUAUAGCUGGCAGCAGUGGGCAGGUGAGGACCGCCGUCUGCUGGGCAGGUGAGUCUCCUUCUUCUCUCUUGGCCUCGCUCCACUGACCUUCUAAACGAAGGUUUAGAGAGGGGGCCUGGUGAGAAGAAGCGGCUGGCCUCGCAGCAGAAUGGCACAUAGAAAGGCAGGAUAGUUAGCAAAGGAGACAUCGUCUCGGGGGGAGCCGAGACAGAAGGAGGCUGGGGGACCAUUGGCGACCCCAGGUGGAAAGAGCUCUUAGAGAGAAGAAAGAAGAGGUGCAGGGUUGCCAGUAAAGACUGAGGCCGCUGCCUCCAGGGAGGUGAUAGGAGUCCUUGGAGACAGUGGCAGAGACCAUGGGAUCCAGCAAGAACAGAAGCAUUCUAGGCUGGGGUCAAACAGGGCAAGAUGGGGUCACAAGACACAGAUGGGUCCCCAGCCGCCACAACAUCCCACCCACCGUAAUUCACUUAGAAGAAGGUUCAAGAGUGGCUCUGGCAAAGUCCCAAGUUUGCCAGAGCCUCAAUAACUGGAGAAUGGAAAAGAAGGGCAGUGCAGGGUGUCACCAGAAGGGGAGUGGGGGCUGCAGGUAUCGGACUCCAGAGGGAUUUUACAGCAAGGAGGCUGCAGUGGGUCCAGCCUGCAGACACACCAUUCCCAUGAGGCACUGCGGCCCAGGGACUGGUGCGGAAAGGGCCCACAGUGGACUUGGUACACUGUAUGCCCUAACCGCUCAGUCCCUGGGUCUGGCAUGACAGACAGAACAUUUCCAGGGGAGUCAAGGGCACAGGAUGAAGCCAGACGAGGCGAGGCAGGCGGGGCAGAAUGAAUGAGUUUCUAGGGAGGGAGGUUGGGUGCAGGUAGAGCGAGUAGCUGGGGUGGUGAGCCAGGGAGGCACUGGCCUCCAGAGUCCGUGGCCAAGGAGGGCCUUGCGGGCGGCGACGGAGCAGUGAUCGGUGUCUCGAAGAGCUCGGACUGGAGACUAGGCCAGGUCUCCAGCAGAGGUGGAUGUGCCUGCCAGUCACUGAAGGCGAGGAUGACAGGUGUGGUCAAUGUGACAGAAAGACAUGACAUGGUCCGGUGUGAUGGAGAGGACAGAAGGGCAGUCAUCCAGCCUUCUUGAACACCAUGGGCUGGCGCCUUGUCGUAGAAGCCGUCUGUUCUUUCACUUUUCCCAAAGAGCUAACACUUCUCUGCUGCUCUCUGGAUCCUCCUCCCCCUACCUUGAACCCUCAAGAUGAAAGAAAUGGUGCUACCCAGCUCAUGUCUGGGCCUUUGAAUCCGGGGACUUCUUUAAGUCCGUCUCGUUCUGAAUCAAGAAGAUGCUGCAAUCAGAACCACUACACUACCUGCCUCAGGAAUCUGCUCCAAGGUGAAGCUGAAAGAACAGAUGGUGUCAACAUUUUGAAAGAGCAGACUCAUAGCACCCACCCACCCCUGAGAAUCCAUCUUCAUGGCCAACUCUGCCUGACCCGGGAGACCACCACCCACAUCAUCCUGGAGCCAAGCCUCUACCCCGGGAUGACUUCAUCAUCUCCCUCCUGUCUUUUUCUUCUUCCUCCUUUCCUGUAAUUCUGUUUCUUUCCUUUUGUUCCUUCCUUGCUUGAGAGACUCAAAGCACCCGUGACUCUGUUUCCCCAUUUACCCCCUUUUGAAUUUGCACUAAGUCGAUUGCACUGGUUUGGAGUCCCGGAGAUAGCUUUGAGUCUCUCCGUAUGAAUGUAUACAGCGAGUGUGUAAACCUCUUUGGCAAUGCUGCCCCAGUACCCACCUGUCGUCCAUCUCCGUCUGAGGGCAACUGGGUGUGGCCGUGUGCUUGAGGCCUCGCCUUCCCCUCGCCUAGUCUGGAAGCAGUUCCAUCAUAAAGUGUUCAACAUGCCCUACUUCAUCCUUUGCCCCUCCUCACCAGGGCCUCACCAGAGGUCCUGGGUCCAUCAAUAAAUACAGUUACAGUCAUUGGUC
rnacentral:lncRNA from 1 species